AUACGGAGGGGGCUAGCGUUGUUCGGAAUUACUGGGCGUAAAGCGCGCGUAGGCGGAUUGGUUAGUUGGGGGUGAAAUCCCAGGGCUCAACCCUGGAACUGCCCUCAAUACUGCCAGUCUAGAGAUCGAGAGAGGUGAGUGGAAUUCCUAGUGUAGAGGUGAAAUUCGUAGAUAUUAGGAAGAACACCAGUGGCGAAGGCGGCUCACUGGCUCGAUACUGACGCUGAGGUGCGAAAGCGUGGGGAGCAAACAGAAUUAGAAACCCUAGUAGUCC
rnacentral:rRNA from 1 species